rnacentral:rRNA from 1 species
GGCGGCGUGGAUUAGGCAUGCAAGUCGAACGGUAUAAACCUUUCGGGGUUUAGAGAGUGGCGAACGGGUGAGUAACACGUAGGUAAUCUACCCUCAAAACGGGGACAACCCUAGGGAAACUUGGGCUAAUACCGGAUGCGUGCAAACAAUUGUUUUGGUUGUUGUAAUUAUUCACGGAAGUGGAUAGUUACGAGAGUUUCAGAGCAUAAUUUGCAUAAAAGGUGGCGUAAGCUGCCGUUUGAGGAUGAGCCUGCGUCUAUUAGUUAGUUGGUGAGGUAAUGGCUUACCAAGGCGAUGAUAGGUAGGCGGCCUUAACGGGUGGUCGCCCACACUGGGAUUGAGAUACGGCCCAGACUCCUACGGGAGGCAGCAGUCGAGAAUAGUCUACAAUGGACGAAAGUCUGAUAGUGCGACGCCGCGUGAACGAAGAAUCCUUUCGGGGGUGUAAAGUUCUUUUCUAUGUGAGCAGUUCCUUUUAUAUGAAGAGUAUAGAAGGUGGGAUUUAAGCAUAGGAAUAAGCAACGGCUAACUCCGUG